UACGUAGGUGGCGAGCGUUGUCCGGAAUUACUGGGUGUAAAGGGAGCGCAGGCGGGGAGACAAGUCAGCUGUGAAAUAUAUGGGCUUAACCCAUAGACGGCAGUUGAAACUGUUUUUCUUGAGUGGAGUAGAGGCAGGCGGAAUUCCGAGUGUAGCGGUGAAAUGCGUAGAUAUUCGGAGGAACACCAGUGGCGAAGGCGGCCUGCUGGGCUCUAACUGACGCUGAGGCUCGAAAGUGUGGGGAG
rnacentral:rRNA from 1 species